UGGGGCGUGGAUAAGCGGCGGUGUGGAUAAGCGGUGGUGUGGCUACUCAGUGGUGACCUAUCGCUGUAGCGCCGCCGCUAACUCGCUAACGUGCUAACGUGGCACGCCGCUAAUCGUGCACCCCUUUUCCCCCCAUUCGCUCAUCGGUAGGUAACCCCCGUAGAAGAAAACUACGUGAGUACCAAGUGCUUAUUUCAAAAGAGAAAGGAAAACCGGAAGGAGGAGGAGAACCGGAAGGAGGAAGAGAACCGGAAGGAGGAGGAGAACCGGAAGGAGGAGGAGAACCGGAAGGAGGAGGAG
rnacentral:other from 1 species